rnacentral:piRNA from 1 species
UGAUGGUAUGCAGUUCCCGGGUUUC